ACAAUUCUUGUUAAAGUAGUACUCUCGGUGCAGUACGUUUACGGCUACAAUGGGUAACACUAGUAGAACUUCACUGCAGACCGCUUAUUCACUCUGGAAGUGAUUUCCGAAAGGUUUUUGGUGGUGAAGUAAACCAGUUGACAAAAUCCUCCAAGUAUGAACUGAGCCGUUAGUGUAAGCUUGGGUCAUACUAAACUCACAUGAAAAAAAGGGCAGAAUAAUUUCAUAGACUAAGAAAUGAUGCGGCCAGGGCUGAUGGAGCCACAAGAAUCAGACCAGCA
rnacentral:lncRNA from 1 species